UGGAUUCGCUAGUAAUCGCGCAUCAGCCAUGGCGCGGUGAAUACGUUCCCGGGCCUUGUACACACCGCCCGUCAAGCCAUGAAAGCUGGGGGCGCCUAAAGUCCGUGACCGAAAGGAGCGGCCUAGGGCGAAACUGGUAAUUGGGGCUAAGUCGUAACAAGGUAGCCGUACCGGAAGGUGUGGCUGGAACACCUCCUUU
rnacentral:rRNA from 1 species